CUGGAAUCGACUGUUCCUGAUGUUCACCAGCCUGCUGCAGGCCCUCAGUUUCAGACUGCCCCAGGGGCUGCCCCCUCCUCCCAUGCACGGGCGCUUUGGCCUCACCCUGGCCCCCUGCCCAUACACUGUGACUGUGAGGCCCCGGCGGUGAGGCCACCAGACAGACUACGAUCCCUGGUACCGUAAUUAAGCCAUAAGGCACAAGAGGCAGUGGUGUCAUGAAUACAGUCACAGUUUACCACCGGACACUAAAUGCUGCAGUGCAAGUGCGCCAUCCUCCUCUCUGGCUAUUCAUCUGUCACCUGACAGAUUGUCAGUCACUGGCGGAAGAAAAAAAACACAAUGGCAGAGAGAGGUGAGGCACCUCCACCGAGGAAACGGAAGUGGAGGGAUUUGGAGGCCCAACUUCUCAGACUGAAGGGACAAUAUAAUAUGGGGAUAGAGACAUUGAGUCCAACUGGAGAGCAGUCAGCUGCUGUGUCCUGGAAGCCAUGUAGAGUCCUUUCCAGUGUGAACUGUAUUGCAUUAAAGACUGCAUCCAGGUAAUUUCGAGAAUGUGUUCAUUUCGCAUUUUGAAACUGAAAGUGACUGGGAAGCUUUCAAAGUCAGGUGCCACUCAAAUGUAAGUGUGUUAAAGUUCAUCUGGACCAAACGGAUACCAGUUUUGAAGAAAAAAUGCAAUGUUCCCUCAAAAUAUUAACAUCAUGACGAUGUUGGUUAUUACCUUUUUUAUCUUUUCUUUUUUUUAAAAAUCUGUUAACUUUGUUGGGGAUGCCUAUUGUUGUGUUAUGCAUAAUUAAAUUAGUUUUUUGUUUAUUUCAUGAUUUGUUGGUAAUUUUUUUGAUGCUCUCACCCAAAAUUCUUUCAUAUAAUAUUCCUUUCCUGAAACAAAUACUUCAGUCUACUGUUGUUUACAAAAACACAAUAAACGUUUUUCUAUUAGCAUUUAUGAUAAUGACGUUGAUAGGUGAUUUCGACUGGCUCAGAAAAAGUUGUCUCGUCUCGUCUGGGCACGGUUCACCCUAUGUAUGGUACUACAGAGAUCGAAAUUCAAAAAUGAAACAUUGUUGCCGAGGUAGGAUUGUUGCCGAGGUAGGACGGGCAGACAGCGAGGUUUAUAUUAACCCCCGCUGUACCAAAUUAAAUGCUAUGCUGGAAGCAAGGGGAAAUCAUGUGCGAGUUGAGAUAAAUACAAGAGAUGAUUAGGACAGCAACAUGAGCAUGAUAUUAUUAUGGAGGCGCAGUGACCAUUUUCAGAUGAAACUGUUAGCAGGCAUAGGUGUGUCUGUGACGGCCAAUACAGCAAGGCUUGGAACGCUGCUCGUCCAAUCAGCAUCCAGGAUCCAAACAACUAGAUUUAUAAUUCUUGUGGCAGGGCACUCACUACUUGGAUUCCAGUGAUCAUGAGGUUCUGUGACCCAUAGAAAAGACCUGUUUUCAAAGAAGCCAUGAUGUUGAUAUUAUUAUAGGUUUUAUCUUACUCAUUAAGGGCUGCUUACUACCUUCUCACAAGAGCUGUCUCAUUUGGAACCGUGCAGUGUUUAUAGCUAUUUAAUUUCUUUAUUUUGAUGCUGAAAAUGUGCACAGGGAAUGUAAAAGUGUGUUAAUGUAACAUUUUGCAAUUUUAAAUGUUUUAACUGAACAUUUUAACGGAACAUUUUAUUACAGCUUGGAAUAUCUAUUAACUGUUUGAGGUUUUAGUUUAGGCCUUUCUGCGUUACGGAAUAAACGAAAGGAUUAUGGGUGAUUUAUUUGCAUUCAGGUUACCAUAGUUAUUUUGAAGAGAGCUGUCUAUUGCAUUAUGGCAAUAAAAUAAAUGAAAUGAUGAUCUUGA